GCGAAAAAGUGACAAAAGUUUUCCGUCGCACUCGCUCUCGAAGCCGCGCGCUGUGAGUGAGAGCGACGCAAAACUUGGCAGGAUCUUCCUGCUUUCAUUGCAUUCAGGAUAAUAAUAAUUAACCAUAGAUCAUCGAGAAAUUCAUAAAAAGAACUUCAAAAUUAACUGUCAAACCUGGCGACAGCCCAAGUGCCAUACAAAACAAGAAUUGACUAACUUGAAUAAUGAAAUAAUGGGAAACCCCUAGUGCUAUCAACAAAAUACUAACAAACCUUUCGGUCCAGUGCAAAUUUUCAGCCACAGUAUGUUUUAGUCCAUGGAUACUGGUCUCAUUGCAGAACCUGACGUAGACUUCCUUCACGGAAACCAUGGCAUCCCUCAUGAAAAAUAUCUUUGACUUCAUCCAGGCUCGCUUACUUAACUUGGCGGUCGUAGCGGUUCUAUCAGGCUGUUACCUCGCCUACGAAUAUCGGGACCGCAUAUUCAAACAAAAGAAACCAUUAACAGCCGUGGAGAGUGAAGACAGUGAGGACACGCUGGCCCGGGGCGGCGGCAGGUCCAGGCCUCGGUCUAGAUCCAGGUCUUUCGAAGCAAACACUAAACGCAGGGGCGGCCAAAAAAAGUGCAGGCGCUGUCCAGAGUGUGGUCUGUGCAAUGAGGCAUAAAAGAGUUGAAAAAUAAUGACAGAUUGAGAAAAAACUUAAAAAAAGUGAAACUGGAUGUGAUUAUUAAACUGAAAAAUAAAUAAAAAUCCAAAGUGAAUUCACAAACA